rnacentral:rRNA from 1 species
AUGAAUGCUGGCGGCGUGCCUAACACAUGCAAGUCGAGCGGUAACAGGUCUAGUUUACUAGAUGCUGACGAGCGGCGGACGGCUGAGUAACGCGUGGGAAUGUGCCCCAAAGUGAGGAAUAACUGCCCGAAAGGGUAGCUAAUACCGCAUAUGAUCUUCGGAUUAAAGGAUUUAUCCGCUUUGGGAGCAGCCCGCGUUCGAUUAGGUAGUUGGUGAGGUAAUGGCUCACCAAGCCCACGAUCGAUAGCUGGUCUGAGAGGAAUGACCAGCCAGACUGGAACUGAGACACGGUCCAGACUCCUACGGGAGGCAGCAGUGAGGAAUCUUCCACAAUGGGCGAAAGCCUGAUGGAGCAACGCCGCGUGCAGGAUGAAGGCCUUAGGGU